rnacentral:rRNA from 1 species
CAAUAGCGUAUAUUAAAGUUGUUGCGGUUAAAAAGCUCGUAGUUGGAUUUCUGCUGAGAACGACCGGUCCGCCCUUUGGGUGUGUAUCUGGCUCUUUCUUGGCAUCUUCUUGGUGAACGUUGCAGCACUUGACUGUGUGGAGCGCUACCCAGGACUUUUACUUUGAGGAAAUUAGAGUGUUUCAAGCAGGCAUACGCCUUGAAUACAUUAGCAUGGAAUAAUAAGAUAGGACCUCGGUUCUAUUUUGUUGGUUUCUAGAGCUGAGGUAAUGAUUAAUAGGGAUAGUUGGGGGCAUUCGUAUUUAACUGUCAGAGGUGAAAUUCUUGGAUUUGUUAAAGACGGACUACUGCGAAANCANNNGCCAAGGAUGUUUUCAUNGG